rnacentral:lncRNA from 1 species
GAAUGAAGUGGGUGGAUUCUCUUAAAGUCACAUCCCAUUUUUUUCCUCAGUGAGUCUUUUUUUUUUUCCAUCUAGCAUUCAACAAAAAUCCUGGCAGCCCAGGAUAUAAAACAUAGAUUACAUUUUGCGUCAUUCAUCUACAGAGAAAGAUUUUCUCAUGACUUAAAUGAAACCUCUAUUUAAGGUCUAUAGCAUUCAGUUUGUCAGUGUGACACUGCUGCUACCGCACAUUUUUGGUCAGAGUGCGUUGCAGCCAACAUAGCCAUCCUGCUAGGAAAAAAAAUCUGCGGAUUGCUGAAUAGUGGAAGUUACAGACAUCUAAUUUACAAGUCAGAUUAGCGAUCAGAGUCAUGCGAUAGCUUUAUGUGGAGUUGAUUUCAUUUCAUGGAUUUUAAGCUAUUUUUUCACGGAAGCAAUGCCUAUAACUCAGAGACAGGUGUGUUGUAGCAUUUGAAAGCC